GAUGAACGCUGGCGGCGUGCCUAAUACAUGCAAGUCGAACGCUGGAGAUCUAGCUUGCUAGAUCGAAGGAGUGGCGAACGGGUGAGUAAUACAUAAGCAACCUACCCACGAAGACUGGGAUAAUCUCUGGAAACGGGGACUAAUACCGGAUAGGUAAUCGGAAGGCAUCUUCUGGUUAUUAAAGGUUAAAAACACUGGUGGAUGGGCUUAUGGCGCAUUAGUUAGUUGGUGAGGUAACGGCCCACCAAGACGAUGAUGCGUAGCCGGCCUGAGAGGGUGAACGGCCACAUUGGGACUGAGACACGGCCCAGACUCCUACGGGAGGCAGCAGUAGGGAAUUUUCGGCAAUGGGGGCAACCCUGACCGAGCAACGCCGCGUGAGUGAAGACGGCCUUCGGGUUGUAAAGCUCUGUUGUAAGGGAAGAACGGUAGAUAGAGAAUAUCUAAGUGACGGUACCUUACCAGAAAGCCACGGCUAACUUCGUG
rnacentral:rRNA from 1 species